AGAAGGCCCAGAGACGUGCCUUCCUCUUCUUUCCAGGGUCCUGGCCUGUCUUGUCUGUUGGGCGGGUAUGCUUCCUUCCUGGCCUUCCUUGUGGAGCAUGUCUGGGAGUGUGCUAGGAAAUGAGGGAGGAAAAUAUGUAACUUGAUAUCUGCUCCUUGACCCUGGCUGACCUGGUUAACUCUCUCCAGGAUGGAAGCAAAGCCUGCCCGGGAAACCUUCCAUUGCAGGAACAUCUCGGCCUGAAGCUGUCAUCAGGGAGCAGGAUCUGCUUCCCGGACUCUGAGCAGAACAAUGGGAGCCCCAGCAGGCUGGCGAGGCUGACAAGCCCUAGGACGGUGACCUCUCCGAUCUCCAGAUCGGAAACUCAGAAACGUGUAAGUGCCAGAAUCCGCAUUUGGGAAUCUGUUAUUUCUCCCUCUGCGAGUCAACCUGAUCACCCUGGAAGCCUCACUGUCUCUCAGCCCUUGUUCCCAUUUUUCUUUCCAUGAACACCGCAAUCAGAUACGAGAUUCCAGUAAUGAUGGUUCUUGAAAAUUAAACAAAUCAAAAAGAAAGCCAGCCAAGGUAUGGAGUGGGGGACCUCUAAGUUCCCCUGGAGGAGACACUGGGGCCAGGUUCCGAGGUGCAUUCGGAGCCAGAAUCCCUAAUGGAAUUGAACAAUUAUCCUGAAGCUGCUCUCUGAAAGCCGCGGUUUUCCUAAAACACUGUGCUUGGCGUGCCUGGGCUUCUUGGCACUGGCCCAUGACCCACAGCAGCAAAUCGUUCCCAGGAAGCUAUUGUUAUUUGUGUAUCUGAUAGCAUUCAGCUGAGUACACUGACAGCAACAUUUAGAAAGGAAAAGAAAAAAGAAGCGUAGAGUGAAAAGGACAAAAAGGAGGCUUCCAACAUCCUGGUGGGAACAGAAAACCAGCAAAGCCUCUUUUCCAGCCCUUAUCCUUGUGAGUUUGGACUCUGCAGAACUGUCAUCCCCCAGGCAUAGCUGCAGCUUGUAUGAAGGUGGGCAUCAGGCGCGGAGAUUCAGGACAGUGUGCACCUGCUUUCCUCCAACGGGACCCCCUCUGUUCUUCCCAGGAAUGCCUGUAAACUGCCACUGCCUCUAGGGGCUGCACCAAGUCCCUGUGUACUCCCAGGACACAAUGGAGUGGAAUGGAGUGGCUCUGUUCUGUCAGGGCCUAACAUUCCAAAUGAAUUCAUUCCCUUCUGGGAAAAAAGAACCACCUUGCUCAGAGCACAAUGUUCCCAUGUCUUGGCUUACCUUGAAGCAUUUUUGAUACACCUGUUGGGACAAUGCGUUCUGCCAAGAGAAGGGAAGUAGCAUACUUUGUUCUAUUUUUUACUCUCAAUGGGCUACGUUUCCAUUGUGUUGGUUUCCCUUACAGAAAGUAACACACACAGAAGAGAAGGUUAUAGGAUUCCAUGCUGCUUGGCAAAGGCACAAAAUAUGUGCACAUAUUUACAUGGAAUAUGAGGGUAAACUAGAAAAUUAAGGGUAAUCUAAAAUAGAAAAAAAGAAGAAAACAAUAAGUUAAAAGUAUGAAAAGACAUCCAGAAUGAGCAAGUUACUGAGGUUGUGCCUCAACUUUAGCUUGAGUUUCCUGGCAGCAAAGGUAAAAAGAAAGAGCACAGUGGCUGCAGCACAGAGCGUGAAUUGAGGGGAGCAAGACUGGCCACGGCGAGAAGGCAACACGCAGGUGAUCUUACAGCUGGAAAAUCAGUGGGUGAAAACGGAGAUACAGCAACUCUCACAGUGACGGGCUCUUGGCAGUCUGAAGAAGCAUGAACCAGAACUAAGCCUGGUCUCUCAGGAUUUGGUGGAUGUCUAAGUUGCAGGGUUAAGAAGUUGCAGUUCCUUCUUUCAACUCAACCUCUAGCAGUUGGAUACAGAAGCAAUUGUCGAACCUGGGCACCUAAGGGGACAGGACUGUCAGUGUCCUGGAAAUCAUGUUCUUCUCUUUGGUUUUCACCACCUCUUAAUGGCAUAUCUUCUAUAUUUCCUUUAAUGCGAACACAGGUAACGAGUUGGUUAUAACCCUUUUCUCAGGGCCAGGCUGCCAUGCCAUCGCUCCUCCAGAGAGCAAACACGAAACAUGAUCCUAUGGCAAGAACAUACAAUGCCAGGUCCCUGGAUUUAGGUCCUGCUCUGUCAUUGACUGUAUAUUCCCAUAAAGAAGAUUAAAACUC
rnacentral:lncRNA from 1 species